AACCAGCACCUCAAGUGGUCAGGAUGAUUAUUGGGCCUAAAGCAUCCGUAGCCUGCUCUGUAAGGUUUCGGUUAAAUCUGUAUGCUCAACAUACAGGCUGCCGGGAAUACUGCAGAGCUAGGGAGUGGGAGAGGUAGACGGUACUCGGGAGGAAGUGGUAAAAUGCUUUGAUCUCUCGAUGACCACCUGUGGCGAAGGCGGUCUACCAGAACACGUCCGACGGUGAGGGAUGAAAGCUGGGGGAGCAAACCGGAUUAGAAACCCGAGUAGUCC
rnacentral:rRNA from 1 species